UGCCAGCCGCCGCGGUAAUACGGAGGGUGCAAGCGUUAAUCGGAAUUACUGGGCGUAAAGCGCGCGUAGGCGGCUGGAUCAGUCGGGUGUGAAAGCCCCGGGCUCAACCUGGGAACUGCAUUCGAUACUGUCCGGCUGGAGUAUGGGAGAGGGUAGUGGAAUUCCAUGUGUAGCGGUGAAAUGCGUAGAUAUGUGGAGGAACACCGGUGGCGAAGGCGGCUGCCUGGCCCAAUACUGACGCUGAGGUGCGAAAGCGUGGGUAGCGAACAGGAUUAGAUA
rnacentral:rRNA from 1 species